rnacentral:rRNA from 1 species
UACGAAGGGGGCUAGCGUUGCUCGGAAUCACUGGGCGUAAAGCGCACGUAGGCGGGUCUUUAAGUCAGGGGUGAAAUCCUGGAGCUCAACUCCAGAACUGCCUUUGAUACUGAGGAUCUCGAGUCCGGGAGAGGUGAGUGGAACUCCGAGCGUAGAGGUGAAAUUCGUAGAUAUUCGGAAGAACACCCGUGGCGAAGGCGGCACUCUGGGACGGUACUGACGCUGAGACGCGAAAGCGUGGGGAGCGAACAGG